rnacentral:rRNA from 1 species
AUGGCCGCUCCUCCUCGGUCGUGGCUCUCGGGGUACAAUCCCUGGACGGGCGUUAUGCAUGCUUACUCCAUGCCCGUUCCCCGUCCUCCCGCUCCAGGCAUCCUCGGGCCACGACCGUCUUCUCAUGAGGCCCUGCUGACCGCGUUGCUCCCGCGGCGUACGGCAACGCCACGGCCUACAGUGGCUCCUCGGCCUAUGGCGGUCCCCCAGGCUACGGCGCAUAUGGUGGCGCCCCUCCGGUCUACGACCCGGCGCUCCUCUCCGCCCUUCAUGCUGCACCCUCGCCGAGCACCUACAACGGAGGCGGCGAUUGGUACAUGGACACCGGCGCCGCUGCUCACAUGGCCUCCAACCCCGGAUGCUCGUUCCCGGAGGGUUCUGCACCGAUGUGAUUCCCCCGAUGAUCUCUACCCAUGUGGUCCUACGACGAGUGGCGGCCCGGUUGCUCUUCAUGCCGAUGUCUCGCUUUGGCACGCUCGACUUGGUCAUCCCGGCGCCGACGCUCUUCACAAAAUUUUGAGCACCUUUUAUUUUUAA